rnacentral:rRNA from 1 species
GACGAACGCUGGCGGCGUGCUUAACACAUGCAAGUCGAACGGACAGGCCCUGCUUUUGUGGGGUGCUCGAGUGGCGAACGGGUGAGUAACACGUGAGUAACCUGCCCUUGUCUUUGGGAUAACUUCAGGAAACUGGGGCUAAUACCGGAUAGGAGCUCCUGCUGCAUGGUGGGGGUUGGAAAGUUUCGGCGGUUGGGGAUCGACUCGCGGCUUAUCAGCUUGUUGGUGGGGUAGUGGCUUACCAAGGCUUUGACGGGUAGCCGGCCUGAGAGGGUGACCGGCCACAUUGGGACUGAGAGACGGCCCAGACGCCUACGGGAGGCAGCAGGGGGGAAUAUGGCACAAUGGGCGGAAGCCUGAUGCAGCAACGCCGCGUGCGGGAUGACGGCCUUCGGGUUGUAAACCGCUUUCGCCUGUGACGAAGCGUGAGUGACGGUAAUGGGUAAAGAAGCACCGGCUAACUACGUG